rnacentral:misc_RNA from 1 species
GUACAGUGAAGUACAAAGGCAUUCUCAUCCUUGAAAGAAUUAAACAAGGAUUUGUGACCGAGCAGCACCGCGGGAGCACUUCUUCCUGCCUGACUUGCUAAGUGCACAAACGCAUAUCUCAAGUAGCUCGUAAUCCUCUUCCCAGAACAAGGAUGAUGCAAGCUCUGGAUUCUCAACCAGCAUUUUUGAUGUCAGGAACCCAGCAAU